AUCCUGAAAGAUGAGGACGUCCACGCUGGUAAUCCGAUCAAAACUGUUGACUAUACAUAUACAUACUAUUCACGGCUAAAACGGUUAAUUUGGAAUCACGAUGAUUUUUCACAAUGAUUAGUGAUCGCCUUUAAUUGUUGUAGAAAAACUCACUCACACGAGUCGUGCAGAUUUAACGUAACAGAUGAAACCACGUAAGAUACUUAUUCACGUGUAUCACAUUUCAUCUCAUAAAUCUUUCCCAUAGGCAUUAAUAAUUUAACGCUCGACAACUAAAUAGCUGCCGUAUUCAAGACCAACAUAACAAUUCAAUUAACAGCUACAACACAACGAGUACAUGCAUCGUGCAUGGAAACCUAUACAUAUAUACAUAUUGAAAACCAGUAAAUAAAGCAAACUAUUACACUGUUAUAUGCCAAUUCGCAUUAAUCGUGACCUCGGAUGAAUGGGCGAAACUUGAAAACGUUUCGAGUUCUCUGAAUCCCGAGUUCAAUAGGCUCAGAUUCAACGGAAUUAAUUAAAAGCACAAUGGUCGAACAAAUGAUCGAGUUAACUAAUGGCUUUGAAUCUGAUGAAAGUGUACAGGAAUUAAAUGAUUCCUGUAUGCAAAAGAAGUAUGAAUCCCAUAUUCCAUACACGGUCUACCGUGGACGGGACAACCUUGCGCGACUAAUAGAGUGAACUGAGCGAUCGACAAGAAAGGAGACAAGGAAAAAAGUGGACGAGAAUAGAGAAAGGAGGACACGAAACCUGGAUGGAAACGCAAUAAGAGGAGUUUCGAAGCGAGAAGUACAAUCUUCCAAUCCAUUAAGAUACACAGCUCGCUCGUGCUAACCACGAUAAAUGAUCUACAAUGCAAAUUCCUACGGGGCGCACAAAUCCCGAAACGGACCGGUCGAGUGUCCAUCGGCCCGCGUCCGUUUUAAGCAUAUCAAGCAAAUUUAUGCACGCCCCUUUCCCGCGCAUAAUUACCGAGCUAUGAGCAUUAUUUACAUAACGAGUUUAAGUAACAAACAUCCCCGGCGACAGAACGCGUUGUAAAAUUCGCGCGCACUUAAUUCCUUCGGCCCGGAACAGAGUUGCCGAACACACCUGGGGAGAUUCGAACAAGCCGCGGUCCUUGUAACGGGAACUCGCGCUCGAUGCUCGCGUGUUAUAUUUUAGUGGAUUCGUAACCGGAAAUCGAAGAAGAAAACGAAAGCACAUCUUCUCGAAAUCCUUUCAUGAACAAUACAAAUUUCAACUUAUUGUACAUAUGUAAACGUGUUACGUCGUAUUAUUAUAAAUAGUUUAAGUAAACCUAUAUGUAUAGAUAUUACAAAUUUUCCAUAAUUUUCCUACAUUUUUCUACCUGUACUACAAACAUGAUAUUUUAGAUGUGUUAAGUACUACUUAAUUAAUAUUUAAAUUAAGUAUUGAGGUCAGUGUACG